CAGUCGCCACGGUAAAACAGAGGGUGCGAGCGUUAAUCGGAUUUACUGGGCGUAAAGCGUGCGUAGGCGGCUUCUUAAGUCGGAUGUGAAAUCCCUGAGCUUAACUUAGGAAUUGCAUUCGAUACUGGGAAGCUAGAGUAUGGGAGAGGAUGGUAGAAUUCCAGGUGUAGCGGUGAAAUGCGUAGAGAUCUGGAGGAAUACCGAUGGCGAAGGCAGCCAUCUGGCCUAAUACUGACGCUGAGGUACGAAAGCAUGGGGAGCAAACAGGAUUAGAGACCCCAGUAGUCCCUGUCUCUUAUAC
rnacentral:rRNA from 1 species